rnacentral:misc_RNA from 1 species
AGUUCUCAACCACAUUGAUUUGCUCUGAUGUGGAUUGGACAUGGGAUUUGCAGGCCAUUUUUUAAAAAAGGUCUGCUCUUCUGAAAUACAUUAGUGGUAUCUGAGCAGAGACUACGUACAGGUGUGAUAACUAUCUAUGCCUACUGUAGAAUGCUGUAUGAACUGCUUCAACCCCCCCUUUUUUGACCA